CCUACGGGUGGCAGCAGUGAGGAAUAUUGGUCAAUGGGCGGAAGCCUGACCCAGCCAAGUCGCGUGCAGGAUGAAGGCCCUACGGUUCUUAAACCGCUUUUGCACGGGGAUAACACCCUCCGCUUGUGGAGGUCUGCAGGUACCGUUCGAAUAAGGGCCGGCUAAUUGUGUGCCAUCAGCCGCGGUAAUACGGAAGGCCCGAGCGUUAUACGGAUUCCUUGGGCUUAAUGGGAACGUAGGGGGGCGUUCAAUGCAGCUGUAACACCGCCCGGCUCAAUCGCGCCCAGCAGUUGAAGCUGGACGCCGUGAGGUCAGAACAGGCAGGCGGAAUUCGGGGUGUAGCGGUGAAAUGGAUAGAUAUAACGAGGAACCCCGAGUGCGAAGGCAGCCGGUCGGGGUGCGACGGACGCUGAGGAUCGAAGGGGCGGGUAUCAAACAGGAUUAGAUACCCUGUAGUC
rnacentral:rRNA from 1 species